CAGUUCUCUGUAUCUCAGUUCGCCGCCGUUGCUGCCCAGCGCGCCGCUUGACUCGGGGUGACUCGGUACAGCGUGGAGUCAGCGACGUUGAGUAGAGGGGACAUGUGGCGCUCUAUCGGGAAGGUGGAGAGUCUGCUGUGGCUGCUGGCAGGCCUCCACGCUGCGGCGCUGUGCAGAGCAGGAACGGCAGCCACCGUGGGUGGAACGGUUAGGUUCCCCGUCCUACAUCACAGCCAGGAGAGGUUCGAGGUGGCGAUGUGGCGGAUCCAUACCGAUCUUGCAAUCCUGGCCUGGAAGUCUGACAGCUCGGAAUAUCCGUACAUGGUCCACACGUCCGACAGUGACAGGGUC